rnacentral:rRNA from 1 species
ACGGCUUUUAUCCGGGAAGAAGAGCAGGGAUGCGUCCCUGUGUGACGGUACCGGAUGAAUAAGCACCGGCUAACUCCGUGCCAGCAGCCGCGGUAAUACGGAGGGUGCGAGCGUUGUCCGGAUUUAUUGGGUUUAAAGGGUGCGUAGGUGGCUUUUUAAGUCAGUGGUGAAAUACAGCCGCUCAACGGUUGAGGUGCCAUUGAUACUGAAAAGCUUGAAACAAGUGGAGGCUGCCGGAAUGGAUGGUGUAGCGGUGAAUGCAUAGAUUCAUCCAGAACACCGAUUGCGAAGCAGGUGGCUACGUUUGAUUUGACACUGAGGCACGAAAGCAUGGAGAGCAACAGGAUUAGAUCCCUGGUAGCCAUGCCGUAACGAUGAGACUCGCUGUUGGCUG